CUGUCUUUAUAAGACUUGCCUUGGUCAUGGUGUCUCUUCAUAGCAAUGGAAGCCCUAACUAAGACAGCCUAUCUCCAAACAGUGUCAGACUCUGAGAUGUUGGGUGUCAGAGGUCAGCGUGUGCAUUUCAGAGUAUGAUGGUUAAGCCUCAUUGUCAACUCGGCAGGAUUUAGUAUCAUCUGGAGAAAAAUCCUCUAGAUAUAUCUGUGAGGAUGUUUCCAGAAAGUCUUAACUGAGGACCUCUCCUGGAUAUGAGCAGAACUGUUGCAUGGAGUGAAGUCCUGGGCUGAAAAGAAACAAAAGCAAGCAAAGGCGAGAGUGAGCAGACAGCAGCAUUCGCCGCUCUGUGUUGUGACCAGCUGCUUCAGGCUCUGCUGUCACACAGUCCUCAGAGUGACGGGCGGCACCUUCACACUGUGAGCCACGGUAAACCCUUCUUGCCUUAAGUUGCUUUUGUGAGGUAUUUUUCACAGUUGGGGGUGGAGAAGUAGCCAGUACAAAAAAUUGUUACCAGAAGUGGGGCAAUUGCUGUGAUGAAUGUGAUACAUUCUUAUCAUAGAAUUUGGAUCUUUGAAAUAGGUUCUGGAAUGGAUAUGGAAGAGUUUGGAGCUUUGGGGUAAUAAAGACACAGACUGCUGUAAGCAGAGGUUAAUGGGGUAUUCUAGGGGUGGGGCUUAGAAGACCAGAGUGUGGAGAGACACAGACAGUGAAGAUGUGGUUUGUGAGCUUUCAGAGGGAAAGAAGGACUCUCAUCAGGAAGAAGUGACAGGCCAUCUGUGCUAUAUUCCAGCAAAGAGCCUGGCUGAAUGCUGCCCGUGUCUCAAGAAACAGAGUCAGGCUAAAUUAAAAAUAGUGGACGAGUUCCUUCAGCAGAGGAAAUCUCAGGGCAGAAGAGCAUCCAGACGUUGGAGUGACUUUUGCUCAUUUCUUUAUCCAGGUUGACAGAGAGAAGGAGCAACAAGUGGAGCCAAAAUGAAAGAUGUGUAGAUUGGUGAGAAAGGAGUUCUAGUGAGCUUACAGCUGUGGACAAGGAAUAACUCAGAUCCUGGAAGAUAAACUUCGUUAAUAAUUGACUGCCUGAAAAACUUUCAGCUUUGUAAGACCAAGGAGUUAUUUUUGAUGGGCUCAGUUCCUUUUAUCUGAUUAAAUCCAUUAAUUGAACAAACCCACUCAUUUGGUAGACAUUUAUUGAGCAUCCAUUAUGGGUUAGAUUUCAAAGGGAAAUUUUGGCAUGAGGUAAUGUUCUCAAUUGUUGCUGCUGGAGAGGUUAACUGAAGUACCUACUUAUCAUCCAUCUAUCUAUACAUCUCUCUGUCUGUAUAUCUAAUUAUAUCUAAUCAUUAAAAGUAUUUCUUUGCUUGAUGGUGA